rnacentral:rRNA from 1 species
UGCAGUCGAGCGGAAGGCCCCUUCGGGGGUACUCGAGCGGCGAACGGGUGAGUAACACGUGAGCAACCUGCCCCUGACUCUGGGAUAAGCCCGGGAAACUGGGUCUAAUACCGGAUAUGACGUACUCUCGCAUGGGAUGUGCGUGGAAAGUUUUUCGGUUGGGGAUGGGCUCGCGGCCUAUCAGCUUGUUGGUGGGGUGAUGGCCUACCAAGGCGACGACGGGUAACCGGCCUGAGAGGGCGACCGGUCACACUGGGACUGAGACACGGCCCAGACUCCUACGGGAGGCAGCAGUGGGGAAUAUUGCGCAAUGGGCGGAAGCCUGACGCAGCGACGCCGCGUGGGGGAUGACGGCCUUCGGGUUGUAAACCUCUUUCAGCAGGGACGAAGCGAAAGUGACGGUACCUGCAGAAGAAGCGCCGGCUAACUACGUGCCAGCAGCCGCGGUAAUACGUAGGGCGCAAGCGUUGUCCGGAAUUAUUGGGCGUAAAGAGCUCGUAGGCGGUUUGUCGCGUCUGUCGUGAAAGCCCACGGCUUAACUGUGGGUCUGCGGUGGAUACGGGCAGACUAGAGGCAGGUAGGGGAGAAUGGAAUUCCCGGUGUAGCGGUGAAAUGCGCAGAUAUCGGGAGGAACACCGGUGGCGAAGGCGGUUCUCUGGGCCUGUACUGACGCUGAGGAGCGAAAGCGUGGGGAGCGAACAGGAUUAGAUACCCUGGUAGUCCACGCCGU